rnacentral:rRNA from 1 species
GAUGAACGCUAGCUACAGGCUUAACACAUGCAAGUCGAGGGGAAACGACAUCGAAAGCUUGCUUUUGAUGGGCGUCGACCGGCGCACGGGUGAGUAACGCGUAUCCAACCUGCCCACCACUUGGGGAUAACCUUGCGAAAGUAAGACUAAUCCCCAAUGAUAUCCCACGAAGGCAUCCGAAUGGGGAUUAAAAGAUUUAGUCCGGUGAUGGAUGGGGAUGCGUCUGAUUAGCUUGUUGGCGGGUAACGGCCCACCAAGGCUUACGAUCAGUAGGGGUUCUGAGAGGAAGGUCCCCCACAUUGGAACUGAGACACGGUCC